CCUACGGGCGGCAGCAGUGGGGAAUAUUGCACAAUGGGGGAAACCCUGAUGCAGCGACGCCGCGUGAGUGAAGAAGUAUUUCGGUAUGUAAAGCUCUAUCAGCAGGGAAGAAAUAAAGUCCUUCGGACUUUGGACGGUACCUGACUAAGAAGCCCCGGCUAACUACGUGCCAGCAGCCGCGGUAAUACGUAGGGGGCAAGCGUUAUCCGGAUUUACUGGGUGUAAAGGGAGCGUAGACGGCAGCGCAAGUCUGGAGUGAAAUCCCAUGGCUUAACCAUGGAACUGCUUUGGAAACUGUGCAGCUGGAGUGCAGGAGAGGUAAGCGGAAUUCCUAGUGUAGCGGUGAAAUGCGUAGAUAUUAGGAGGAACACCAGUGGCGAAGGCGGCUUGCUGGACUGUAACUGACACUGAGGCUCGAAAGCGUGGGGAGCAAACAGGAUUAGAUACCCGAGUAGUC
rnacentral:rRNA from 1 species